CAGCACAAUAGGCCAUUCUGGACCCGCCGCGCUGCUCCAGAGUGGACACGGCGGUUCUGCAGCAGCUUCUACUUCUUCCUCUACAGUCUUCUUAUCUUUUCCUCUUUUCUCUCCUUCCCUUUAUCUUCUCGUUCCUUUCCUCCUUUCUUGUUUCCGUGGUCCUCUUUAUAGUUCCUAGUAUCUUCUUGCUUUCCAUCUUCUCUGUGCUUUGGCCGUUUUCCUCUCUGUACUUUUCAAAGUUGUCAUAUUCUGUGUUUUUACUGCUAACAUCGUCAUCUGGGUAGGAAAAAACAAUCUUAAACCAAAUUCCAGAACUGAGAAAUCAGUAGGGUGCAGGAACAGAAAGACCCUUGGCCUCUGUCAGAGACUUUAAUUCCAGAUUUUUUAAGGUCUCAGCACUGUGGAUCUCAUUUAUUCACAGUCACUUUUACAGCCACGUUUUGCUUCUGACUGCAUUCUGGGCACUAGAGCUGCUCUCAGUGUUAUUAAAAGCAGGUUUUUAAGUGGAUGGUACAGAAGAGUGAAAUAAGGCUCCUUCACUGUUACUGAGGCUUUGCUGACAUUGCUUACUUUGAUUUAUACCAGCUCAAGAUUAAACCUUCACUACCAAAAAAAAAAAUGAAGCCACCAAUUACAACUACACUAUGGCUUUACAUAUAAAUUAAUUCCUGUUACUCUGUGCUAGGACAGAGGAUGCAAUAUGGGCCAGAAAUUUAGAUGCUUGCUACCUGAGACUGGGGUGCUAUGUUCCCAUGCCCUGGGCUGUGCUCCAGAAGAGGAAAGCAAAUAAUUUUUAUCUUUAUGGGGUGCAGAGAGCUAAAUGAUGACUACCUUUUAGAGAGCUAACUGUCAGUUCAUCUUUUCUUUCCUUCAGCUCUUUGAUGAAGCUUUUGUUCACAUCAUUUAAGGCCUCAGGAGGCCUGAGCCCUGGACAUCCAUGAGGUAUCACUGAAUAGUUUCUAUUUCGAUUACAGAGAAUUGAUUUACCUGCUGUGUAUAAAACGAAGCUUACCAGGCAUGAGUUGCUAAAAAAGAAAAAGGGGGAAUUGUGGAGGAAUUUCGUCUGAAAGAGGCCAUGGCUUGGUAACAGUGAACAACCCAUGCUUUGAGAACUAAUGUGCGGAUUGUCCUUGAGCUGCUCUCGACUGUGAGAAAAGAAGAAAGAAUGCCUACAUGAUAACAAGCUCCAGCAAGGAGGAGGCUGAAGCAGUAUGUGAAUCCGCAAGGCUUAUCGCAGAAAGCGCAACUGGCUUUUAGAGAAAGGACCAAUUAGAAGUAGUAUAAGCAUGCUAACUUUGCUGCUGAUUAUAAAACUGAUGCUUGUUAGUAAAAUUGGAGUUGUGACCAAAAAAAAAAAAAUCCCAAACCAAACUGUUUUGCUGUGAGAGUGAUGAAGCAGUGGAACAGGAUGCCCGGAGAGCGGUUGUGAAACCUGUUGCCUUGGAGGUCAUCAGGACCUGCCUGAUGACCAAUGGGAGCAGAUAUGAAUGGAUUCCUCUAGAAACAAAGCUUGUGAAGGAGCUGCAUGGGACUGUAAAGACACACGCUUUACAGAUACCUCAUCAAAGACCAACACAGUGGCACUGGUGUGGAAACAGGGAGACAGAUGGGAGCUACCCCCAUGGGCCGAGCCACAGCACGCUACGUGAUUAGGCACUGGCUACAAUGUAUAGCCAUCCUAGGAUGUCCUGCACAAAUCAAAACUGACAAUGGGACUUGUUACACCUCCCAUGUGACACAGGAAUUCUGUCAAACCUGGCAGAUCAAAUUGCUGCACGGUAUCCUUCACAAUAACCAGGGACAGGCGAUCGUUGAACGCACUCACCCUACUCUAAAAGUACAACUCAACCGUCUUAGGGAGGGGGAGAGCAUGGGAAGCUCAGAUGCUUGGGGCAAGGGUGUGCUUGUGUAGAAAAGGAGGGAACCCAGCAGUGGGUCCCGGCAAAACAAAUACGACCAGAGAUAUGAGUCUAACGGUCUACUGAGUCUCUUUUGCAGAUUGAUGUGUUCUUCAGAGAGCCCGCUGUGAAGCAGAUCCAGCUGGGGUCACUCAACUAUUAGCGAGAUUGGGCAGUGAAGUGGAACACGACCAGUACCUGUUUAUAUCUUCCGGCAAUUGGCUCAGCUAGCACGUGUGCUGGGCAGACACAUUAUGUAUCAGCCCGUGCCACAGGAUGCUGGAGUCAUUGAGGUUAGGGAGGGGGAGAUGUAGUAGGUGUCCAGAAGAUCUCAGGUUGUAACGUGAGAGGUGGAGGGUACAGAAGAGGUGGGCACAGGGUGGAGUGGGAGGAGGUGCUGGUGUUAGCAGAUAAAGGCAC